UACGGGAGGCAGCAGUGGGGAAUAUUGCACAAUGGGCGAAAGCCUGAUGCAGCUAUGCCGCGUGUAUGAAGAAGGCCUUAGGGUUGUAAAGUACUUUCAUCGGGGAGGAAAAACAAAACUAAUAAUUUUAUUUCUUGACGUUACCCGAAAAAGAAGCACCGGCUAACUCCGUGCCAGCAGCCGCGGUAAUACGGAGGGUGCUAGCGUUAAUCAGAAUUACUGGGCGUAAAGAGCACGUAGGUGGUUUUUUUAAGUCAGAUGUGAAUCCCUGGGCUUAACCUAGGAACUGCAUUUUGAAACUGAAAUACUAGAGUAUCGUAGAGGGAGGUAGAAUUCUAGGUGUAGCGGUGAAAUGCGUAGAUAUCUGGAGGAAUACCUGUGGCGAAAGCGGCCUCCUAAACGAAUACUGACACUGAGGUGCGAAAGCGUGGGGAGCAAACAGGAUUAGAUACC
rnacentral:rRNA from 1 species